AUUGAACGCUGGCGGCAGGCCUAACACAUGCAAGUCGAGUGGAUAAAGGAAACUGCCUCCUGUCUUCCGCGGCGGUCGGGUACGUAAGGCCUAUGAAUUUGCCAGGUAGUGGGGGAUGACGUCCGCUAACGGGCGCGAAUACCGCAUCCGUCCUACGUGAGAAAGCUGUGGAUCUUCACCCUCCACGCUAUCAGAUUAUCCUAGGUCGUAUUAGCUAGUUGGUGGGGUAAAGGCUUACCCAGGCGACCAUCCUUAACUGGUCUGAGACGGUGAUCAGACACACUGGAACUGAGACACGGUCCAGACUCCUACGGGAGGCAGCAGUGGGGAAUAUUGCACAAUGGGCGAAAGCCUGAUACAGCCAUGCCGCGUGUGUGAAGAAGGUCUUCGGAUUGUAAAGUACUUUAAGUGGGGAGGAAGGGAAGUAAGUUAAUACCUUGCUGUGUUGACGUUACCAACAGAAUAAGCACCGGCUAACUUCGUG
rnacentral:rRNA from 1 species